AUUGAACGCUGGCGGCAUGCUUUACACAUGCAAGUCGAACGGCAGCGCGGGGCAACCUGGCGGCGAGUGGCGAACGGGUGAGUAAUAUAUCGGAACGUACCCAGAAGUGGGGGAUAACGUAGCGAAAGUUACGCUAAUACCGCAUACGAUCUACGGAUGAAAGUAGGGGACCGCAAGGCCUUAUGCUUUUGGAGCGGCCGAUAUCUGAUUAGCUAGUUGGUGAGGUAAAGGCUCACCAAGGCGACGAUCAGUAGCUGGUCUGAGAGGACGACCAGCCACACUUGAACUGAGACACGGUCCAGACUCCUACGGGAGGCAGCAGUGGGGAAUUUUGGACAAUGGGCGCAAGCCUGAUCCAGCAAUGCCGCGUGAGUGAAGAAGGCCUUCGGGUUGUAAAGCUCUUUUGUCAGGGAAGAAACGGUAGAGGCUAAUAUCCUUUGCUAAUGACGGUACCUGAAGAAUAAGCACCGGCUAACUACGUG
rnacentral:rRNA from 1 species